CCCCAACCCUACACGUGUCAAACUUCCCAAAUCUACUCGUUCCCACAUCAACCUCGUUCAAAGUCAACCAAAAAUGUGACCUCUCGUCUUCUCCAAAUCUCUGAUUCGUCUUCCUCUGUUUUGGGCUUUGGCAGAGUCCUCUGUUUUCAGUGCAAACAGAGAUAGCCAUGAAAAUGAAACCAGAGACUGUGACACUGGUGCUGGUCAACCUAGCCAGUAUUAUGCAGCGAGCUGAUGAGUCCCUUUUGCCAGGAGUCUACAAAGAAGUAGGAGCCUCUCUUCACACAGACCCAACUGGGUUGGGCUCUCUGACUCUGUUCAGAUCCAUUGUCCAAUCCUCCUGCUACCCACUUGCUGCUUAUCUUGCUAUGCGUCACAACCGAGCCAAUGUCAUUGCUCUUGGUGCUUUUCUUUGGGCUGCCGCCACUUUUCUCGUUGGCUUCUCCUCUACUUUCCUUCAGGUUGCUAUUUCAAGAGGUUUAAAUGGUGUUGGACUUGCCAUAGUCAUUCCUGCCAUUCAGUCACUUGUUGCUGACUCAACAGAUGAUAACAACCGUGGUACAGCAUUUGGAUGGCUACAACUAACAGGAAAUCUAGGCUCCAUAAUAGGUGGUCUUUUUUCUGUACUAAUAGCCUCCACUUCAGUAAUGGGUAUAGAUGGUUGGAGAAUUGCAUUCCAUCUGGUUGGGCUCAUUAGUGUCAUAGUCGGUAUAUUGGUUCGUCUCUUUGCUAAUGAUCCGCACUAUGUACAGAACAAUGGUAAAGCUAAAGAUGAAAUGCCACAUACUUUUUCAGAAGAAGUGAAGGACCUGAUUAAAGAAUCCAAGUUGGUUAUCAAAAUCCCAACUUUUCAAAUACUCAUUGCUCAGGGUGUCUUUGGAUCAUUCCCCUGGUCAGGUUUGUCAUUUGCUCCUUUGUGGUUGGAGCUUAUUGGCUUCUCCCACAAAGAAACGGCAGUUCUUUGGACCAUAUUUAUAAUUGGCGCCUCACUUGGAAGUCUCUUUGGAGGAAAAAUGGGGGAUGUCCUUGCAAAACCGUUUCCCAAUGCUGGGAGGAUAGUUCUUUCACAGAUAAGUGCAGGAUCAGCUAUUCCUUUUGCAGCUCUUUUGCUGCUGGGGUUGCCUGAUGACCCAUCCACCGGAUUCAUGCAUGGGCUGGUCUUGUUCAUCAUGGGAUGGUUCACUUCCUGGAAUGCUCCAGCAACUAACAAUCCAAUAUUUGCAGAGAUCGUCCCUGAGAGGUCCCGUACGAGCAUCUAUGCUCUAGAUCAAUCUUUUGAAUCCAUCUUAUCAUCAUUUGCUCCCCCAAUCGUUGGGAUUUUGGUUCAGCACGUUUUUGGUUACAAACCAAUUCCUAAAGGAUCAUCAGACUCUGUAGAGAUUGAAACAGAUAGAGAGAAUGCUGCAGCACUUGCCAAGGCACUCUUCACUACAAUGGCAAUUCCUAUGACACUCUGUGUCUCAAUCUACUCGUUCCUUUACUGCACAUACCCAAGAGACCGGGAACGGGCAAGAAUGCAGGCGUUGAUAGAAUCAGAAAUGCAACAUCUGGAAACUAGUUGUGCUGCAUCAGGAGGAGAAUACUCACAACUUAAUGUUUCAGAAUCAAAAGUGCUGAAUGGAAAAGAUGAAAGUGAUAUCGACGUAGAAUAUGCAGCACACGAGAGCGUUGAGUUGGAUGAUAAUGAUGAAAAGUCUCUGCUCUCCCAUCAGCUAACUUUCUCAAAUAUGAAAGAGUAGAGGAAUUGCCAAGCUGAACUAUUGCGUCUCUGUUAACCAACAAAAAAGCUUCAUCUACACAGCUUGGACAAAAAUUGGAUACUCGUCGAGUCUCUUUGACUUGACAACCAUGAGAGUGUUGUUUCAUACCACAUUUUCUUACUCAUACUUGUAUCCACAAGAUAGACAAGGGAGACUAACAGGCACUGUGACUAUGAAAACGUCAAGAUUAGGCUCCACAGAGGGUUUGAAGUAGAAUGCGAUUAGUCUUUUUACAAAAUGAGCUCUGGAGCUGUAACACCUGCAACCUAAUUUUGGCACAAAGCUUGUUCAGACAAAGCCUAUCG